rnacentral:rRNA from 1 species
UACGUAGGUGGCGAGCGUUGUCCGGAAUUACUGGGCGUAAAGGGCGCGUAGGCGGUCUUUUAAGUCAGAUGUGAAAACCCGAGGCUUAACUUCGGGCGUGCAUUUGAAACUGGGAGACUAGAGUGCAGGAGAGGAAAGCGGAAUUCCUAGUGUAGCGGUGAAAUGCGUAGAUAUUAGGAGGAACACCAGUGGCGAAGGCGGCUUUCUGGACUGUAACUGACGCUGAGGCGCGAAAGCGUGGGGAGCAAACAGGAUUAGAUACCCUGGUAGUCCACGCUGUAAACGAUGGAUACUAGGUGUGGGAGGUAUCGACCCCUUCCGUGCCGCAGUAAACGCAAUAAGUAUCCCGCCUGGGGAGUACGGCCGCAAGGUUGAA